UACGAAGGGAGCUAGCGUUGUUCGGAAUCACUGGGCGUAAAGCGCACGUAGGCGGAUGUGUCAGUCAGGGGUGAAAUCCCGGAGCUCAACUUCGGAACUGCCCUUGAUACAGCACGUCUUGAGUCCGGAAGAGGUGAGUGGAAAUUCCCAGUGUAGAGGUGAAAAUUCGUAGAUAUUGGGAAGAACACCGGUGGCGAAGGCGGAUCUCUGGGCCGAUACUGACGCUGAGGAGCGAAAGCGUGGGGGAGCGAACAGG
rnacentral:rRNA from 1 species